rfam:Dorea longicatena CAG:42 genomic scaffold, scf83
AUAAUGAUACACCCGUAUGACACGGUUCAGCCCACAGGAAUGGGAAUGGUUGAGAUACCAGUGG